rnacentral:rRNA from 1 species
CCUACGGGAGGCAGCAGUCGAGAAUCAUUCACAAUGGGGGAAACCCUGAUGGUGCGACGCCGCGUGGGGGAAUGAAGGUCUUCGGAUUGUAAACCCCUGUCAUGUGGGAGCAAAUUAAAAAGAUAGUACCACAAGAGGAAGAGACGGCUAACUCUGUGCCAGCAGCCGCGGUAAUACAGAGGUCUCAAGCGUUGUUCGGAAUCACUGGGCGUAAAGCGUGCGUAGGCUGUUUCGUAAGUCGUGUGUGAAAGGCGCGGGCUCAACCCGCGGACGACACAUGAUACUGCGAGACUAGAGUAAUGGAGGGGGAACCGGAAUUCUCGGUGUAGCAGUGAAAUGCGUAGAUAUCGAGAGGAACACUCGUGGCGAAGGCGGGUUACUGGACAUUAACUGACGCUGAGGCACGAAGGCCAGGGGAGCGAAAGGGAUUAGAUACCCCAGUAGUC